CAUUUAAUCGAUUAAAAGAGAAAAUAAUUGACAGAUUGAUCGACAUUGAAAAUAAUCUUUAGUUGCAACCCUAAGUGAAUGUUUUAACGGAGUAGUUCAACACUUUGGGAUAUACAGUUAUUCACUGUCUCGCCAAGAGUUAGAUGAGUAGAUGGAUACCACUCUCACAUCUGUCUCUUCAAUGUGAAGCUGGAGCCGUGAGCCAAGUUAGCUUAGCUUAGCAUAAAGAGUGGAAACAGGGGGAAACGGCUAGCCUGGCUCUGUCUGUCUGUUAAAUAAAGCUC